AUGUUGAUACCUAAGAAGAACUGGGUUGCCAUUUAUGAACUCCUUUUUAAGGAGAGUCAUGGUGGCCAAGAAGGAUGUCGACAUGCCUAAGCACCCGGAGCUGGCAGACAAGAAUGUGCCCAUCCUUCACAUCAUGAAGGCCAUGCAGUCUCUCAAGUCCCAAGGCUGCAUGAAGGAACAGUUUGCCUGGAGACAUUUCUACUGGAACCUUAUGAAUGAGGGUAUCCAGUAUCUCCAUGAUUACCUUCAUUGGCCCCUGGAGUCUGUGCCUGUCACUCUAUGCCGCAGCCAUCCAGAGACUGGCAGGCCUCGGCCUAAAGGUCUGGAGGAUUAGCGAUCUGGAAGACUUACAAGAGGGGAAGCCAACAGAGAUACCUACAGACAGAAUGCUGUGCCCCCUGGUGCCGACAAGAAAGCCAAGGCUGGGGCUGGGUCAGCAACUGAAUUCCAGUUUAGAGGUGGA
rnacentral:lncRNA from 1 species